ACAGAAAUUGAGGUGAUUGCAAAUGUUGAUCAUGAGAACUAGUUGAGCUAUAUGGUUGCUGUGCGGAAGGAAAUCAUAGGAUAUUGGUUUAUGGCUUCAGAAUAAUUGCCUUUCACAAACACUUAUUGGUGGAGGCCAAUUUAGUAGGCGAACAAAUGUAAAAUCUGCAUUGGAUUGCAAGGGGGCUCGCUUACCUUCAUGAGGAUGUUCAACCCUCCAUAUUAUUCACAGAGACAUUAAAGCAAUCAAUAUUCUCCUUGAUGAAGAUCUUUCACUCAAAAUUCAGAUUUUGGUCUUGCAAAGUUUAUAGCACCCAACUUGACCCAUGUUAGUACUCGUGUUGCUGGAACAGCAGGUUAUUUGGCACCUCAGUAUACCAUAUGAGGUCAAGUGACAAAGAAAGCAGAUAUCUAUAGUUUUGGUGUUUUAGUCUUGGAAAUUGUUAGUGGGAGGGGCAACGCAAACAAAUGUUUACCAUCCAAAGAAUAGUAUCUUCUUGUAAGGGUAUGGGAACUAUAUUAGAGGGGUAAGCUGGUGGAGUUGGCCGAUCCAUCAACAUUAAAUGAAGGUUUGAAUGUUGAGGAGGCUUGCAUAUUCAUGAAGAUUGGUCUUCUCUGCACCCAAGACAAGCCCAAGCUCCGACCAUCCAUGUCUACGGUUGUUAAGAUGCUGACAGGUGAGACAGACGUGGAUGACGAGAAGAUAGACAAACCUGGAAUGCUUUCUGAGUUCAUGCAUGGACCAGAGAGAUUCGUCUGAUGCUAAACACUCAUCUUACUCACUAUCACCUUAUGGGAGGGUUCUCAAUUCGUCAUCUUCCUCCGAAAAAAUCACCACUUCAUUUGCUACCAUGACCUUUAAUUCUAUAUAUGACCGAAGAAAUUAUGACGGCAAAGAAACAUCUUUCUGGUGUUGUUUGGUAUGGGUAGGAUGCAUAUACAUAUUACUAUUAGUCUUAUAUGUGUUUUGGAGUGCAAUAAGUAGCCAUAUAUGAAAUAGUAUAUUUUGUAGAGUAACAGUAUUGGUGUAAAGUUUUAUAAUCACCUAGGCAGCAGGGCUUUAUAUUUUUGGUAUGUAAAGAAAGUCCCGACUAUAUAAAGACCCUUACAUCCCUGCAUUCAAAUCCAGAUAUCAUGUAUACUAAACAUGAGACCUUUUCUUUUGGA